rnacentral:rRNA from 1 species
UACGUAGGGGGCUAGCGUUGUCCGGAAUCAUUGGGCGUAAAGCGCGUGUAGGCGGCCCGGUAAGUCCGCUGUGAAAGUCCAGGGCUCAACCCUGGGAUGCCGGUGGAUACUGCCGGGCUAGAGUCCGGAAGAGGCGAGUGGAACUCCUGGUGUAGCGGUGGAAUGCGCAGAUAUCAGGAAGAACACCAACGGCGAAGGCAGCUCGCUGGGACGGAACUGACGCUGAGGCGCGAAAGCGUGGGGAGCGAACAGG